AGUGAUGCCAGAGGUGGUUUUCUACCAACCUCUCUAAUGGCCUCCUCACUGGCUUGGCUGACCGACUUGCUGCUUCUCAGACAGCCUUAUUUGGUAGUAGGGAAGUACUGAGGGGGGUGGCAGCAGGGUAGUGCAAAGAGGAAGAGUGGUGCUCUGUUUACAUGGAGGGUCAGGGGGUCAAAGCUCCAGUGUGGCAUGGAAUAAACCAAGAACACUUAAAAGACAGAAAGAGAGCAGUCUCUCAGCAUCCUCAGUGGGCAUCAUUACCUCAUUGGUCAACAUUCUAAUGGGCCACAGGGGUCAGGUUGGUGCUUGCUGGCCAAUCAACAUCAACCAACAGCCUGGCUAGAAAGCAAUCCUCUGGUGCACUGACUGCAGGCCAGUAGAGGGUAGGUACAGUGCUCCCUCCGUGUCCCCCGCCGAGAUGACUUCUUCCACCACGGCGCCAAGCAUCCGCCUGCUCUCGCCACCGCCUGCCACAGGUUCCCUGCCUCUACCACCCGCCAGCACGUCUCAAGGAUCAUCUCCAUUUCCUCUUUCAAUAAACCUUUCAUUACAA